rnacentral:lncRNA from 1 species
GUUAUGUUCUGAUGAGGAUGCCAGAACUAAGUUGAGAAUAAAGACUACUCAAACGAGAAACGUGUGGUUCACUGAAAGAAUGAGCAACGAGGCUGAACACGCAACAGGUUAUGGGCCCAGGCACAGCACAGGAGGCCGAUGGCACAGACUGGUUUUCGACGGAGACGAAAACCACUACGAAAUAUGGGAGGUAAAAUUCCUUGCUUACUUGAGAACGCUGGGAUUAAAAGAUACCAUCCUAUCGGCUGAUAACCCAGACCGAGAGAAAAACGAGGAGUGCUAUGCAGAGCUAAUACAGUUCCUCGACGAUAAAAGCCUGUCGUUGGUGAUGAGAGAUGCUGCAGAUAACGGCCGGAAAGCGCUCCAUAUACUACGCGGCCAUUACGCCAGCCACGGUAAACCGAGAAUCAUCGCUCUUUACACAGAGCUCACCUCCCUGUUAAAAGACCCUGGGGAAACAGUGACAGAUUAUAUUUUACGUGCUGAAAAAGCAGCAACGUCUCUGAGAAAUGCAAAUGAGGUGAUAAGUGACGGACUGAUCAUAGCAAUGAUCCUAAAGGGGCUUCCGGAGUCAUACAAGCCUUUUGCUAUUCACACAACUCAGAGCAGUGAAGAAUUAACAUUUAUCCAGUUUAAAAGCAGACUGAGAAGCUACGAAGAGACAGAAAAGUUUGAAAACAAACUGAAGUCAGACAAUGUGAUGAAAGUAGACAUGACAGCUGUAACCUGCUACAAUUGUGGAAAUCGUGGGCAUAUGGCGAGAGACUGCCGUCAAAAGAGUACACCAAAAUGGUGUAACUACCACAGAAGCACAACCCACAGUGAUGAGACAUGCAGAAGAAGAGCCAAACGGAAGGACGACGCCAAGCAGACUUCAGAGAAGCAGGACAACUACGAGGAGGAUCAGACGAUGGUAUUCAAAGCCAGCCAGGAUCUUCUACCUGAUAACAUCAAACUUAAUGGCAUCAUGGUGGACUGUGGAGCCACAUCACAUAUCAUUACAGAUGAGGAGCAGUUCACACAAUUUGACAAGACCUUCGACCCAAAUAAGCACUUUAUGGAGUUGGCGGAUGGAAGCAAGAUGAACAAUGUUGCACUGAAGCGGGGUGAUGCACUGAUUAAGCUGCUGAACUCUGAGGGGAAGUAUGUUAGAGUCACUCUUAAAAAUGCUUUGCUAAUCCCAUCCUAUCCACAGAGCAUUUUUUCAGUGCAAGCAGCUACAGCCCAUGGAGCCAGUGUGACCUUCAUGGAAGGACAAAAUGAACUCCUGUGUAAGGAUGGAACUGUGUUCCCAAUCGAGGUACAUGAGAGACUGUAUUAUCUGAAAAAUAACAAUGAAAAAUGCAUUGAGAGGCAUUUUACUGAUGUGAUCUGUGAUGAUAAAGUUAAACUAGCCUGUGAUGUCAAAACAUGGCAUCAAAUAUUAGGACACUGUAAUGUAAAUGAUGUUCUGAACUUACAAAAUGUCGUUGAGGGCAUGAAAGUCACUGACAACAGUAAAAUAGAGUGUGACAUAUGCACAGAAGGAAAAUUCAUUAACAGCAGAAACAAAGAAUCAGAUGUUAAAGCUGGAGCACCACUACAGUUAGUCCAUACGGACUUAUCAGGCCCCAUUGAUCCUGCAGGCUUAGAGGGACACAGAUAUGCAAUUUGUUUUACUGAUGAUUUCUCUGGAUUAGCGACUGUCUAUUUUCUGAAAAACAAGAGUGAUACAACUAAAGCAACACAGAAAUUUCUAGCUGACUGUGCACCUUAUGGCAAUGUUAAGUGCAUUAGAUCGGACAACGGUACUGAAUACACAAGUGAUUCAUUUCAAACACUGCUCAGAGAAAAGGGUAUCAGACACGAGACCUCAUCACCAUACUCCCCACAUCAAAAUGGAACAGCAGAAAGACAGUGGAGGACGCUAUUUGAGAUGGG